CAGAACACACAUGCACACACGCAUAUGCAGACCUGUAUUUGAAUGCUUCAAAGAGCCAUAGAAGCAGUGAGCCUUUGUAGGACUAAGAUACAGAAAAAAUGAAAAAUGAAGAGAGGUGUCUGGUGUUUGGAGCUGUUUUUGCCCACAAGGCAAAUGCAGAAUCAGAAAAAAAAAGUGACAUCUGAGAGGUUAAGUUUCUGAGCAAAGCUUUUGGUAGUGUCACAAGGCUGAAGGGUGGAAAACUAUAGUGUAGGACCUUCUAAGAAGAAGUCACUUACUCCAGGCUUUUUGUUGUUAUGCAGAAGGCUACACCCUCAGAGUAAGGCUGAAUUGGAAACAUUGCAGAAGUUACAAAGGCUAAAAACCAACUCCCAGCCAGCUUAAUCCCCAGACAGGGGUAAAAUGAUCUGUGAGGGGAAAAAUUAAAUCCACUCUGGAUGAUGAUAAUCUUAUCCAAAGCCUUGAAUGCCUAUAUAAUUUUAUGAAAAAUUGUGUAUGAACACAACAUUGGCACUCAAUUAAAAAAAAACUCUCCAGGUAUACAAAAGGGUAAGACUUGACCAAAACCAAGAGAAAAACAUAAUUAAACAGUAAAAAAUAGAGUUCUUAUACAGGAACGCCAAAUACAUAUAAUUAAUGUGUUCAAGACAUAAAAUUACAAGAUGAAGAAUUUCAGCAGGGAACUAGAAACCACAGAAAGGAAACAUUGGAAUUCUAUAAUAGAAAAACAAAAAUAAAUUAAAUUCAGAUCUCAGUGAAUGGGCAUAACAUUAUAUUGAGGUACUGUAGAGAGAAUUGGUGAGCCAGAAACAAGUCUGUGAAAGGCUAGCACAAAAAGUCAAAAGAUUAGAUGGGAAGAAGAGAAAGUAAGAGCCACAUGGAACAUAGUGAAAGGGUAUAAUUGUAGUUCCACAAAGAUAGGAGAAAGACGCAAUGGGCAUAAGCAAUACUUGAAGGAAUCAUGGCCAAGAAUUUCACAAAACUUCCAAAAAAUGUUCAAAGACAUCUAUCCUCAGAAUCAAGCUGGUGAGCCCCAAGAGGAUAAAUACAAAGGAAACUGCCUUGGACACGUCACUGUAAUUUCUGAAGACCAAAGAUAAAAGGAAAUCUUAAAAACAGUCAGAGGUGUUGAAAAGACAGUUCUUUGAAAUAGCAAGAUCAACAGCUGACUUCUGAUGGGAAAUCAUGGGAGUCUCAACGCAAUUGAAUAAUUUCCUCAAAGCAAUGAAAGAAGCCUAGAAUCCUUUCACUCGUGGCGAUAUUCUUCAAAAAUGAAGGUGGAAUAAAAACACUUUCAGAGAAGCAAAAAUUAGGAUGACUUUCCCAGAGCACAUCUUCACCGAAGGACGUGACGGAGGGAGUUUUUCAGUCAGGAGGAAAGUGAUCCCAGAUGGAGACAUGCAGUGCUGAAAGGGAGACCAACAGAAACAGAAAUGUGUACCGGCAAAAAUCAACAAGAAUAAUGUAUUGAGAUGUUUAAUAUGCGUGUUGACUACAAACAUGAGGAGAACAGCAUAAACUUUGGGAGUCAGACCCAAUGAAGUACAAGAAAAGCUACCAUUCUCGGCCAGUGCUGCUGUCAGGACUCCCUGUCUCCGCCCAUAAAGCUUACUCCUGAGACAUCAUCAACCAGAAACCACCAAGAUUCUGCUGCCUUCCUUCCUGCCAAGUUAUUGCCUGGAUUUGGAUUUCUGUGUAAAUGUAAGUUGACAGUGGCAGAGAGUGUAAUGUUGGUGGUAAGUAAAGCAACAUCUCCCAGUGCAUCCAGAGUGGGCAGUUGGUCUGUUUCUCAGUCUAAGAUCUUAGUGCUUUGAGUUUUUGUGCUUUGUGUAUGUUGGAGAGAGAAGGUGGAAGAGGCUAGACACUGUUUCAAACUGAAAAUGAUUAUGGAAUCUUGGUAACCAACCUCUGCAAUGAUUGUAUAUUACUUUAUUAAAUUGAUGUCCCAUAGUUGACUUAACGACUUUCCUAUUGUUGAUCAUUUAAUGUGUUUCCAAAUACUUGCUAUUACGAUUGACCUUGAACAACACAGGUUUGAACUGAAGGGGUUCACUUAUGCGUUGUUGUUGUUUUCUUAAAUAAGUACGACACAGUAUUGUAAAUGUAUUUUCUCUGAUUUUCUGUUUUAUUGUUCAAGGGUGAACUGUAUUAUCAAUAAUUCUACAACAAACAUCUUUGUGCGUAAGACUUUUUCUUGGCUGUAAACACAGGUUCUACAUAUGGUAGCAAUGUCUUGUCCAACAGUUUCUGGUUCUCCUUUUUCCAUAGAAAUUUAGAUCCCAUGUCUGUCUAGAAUAGAGACGGUAUCUACCAA